GAUGAACGCUGGCGGCGUGCUUAACACAUGCAAGUCGAACGAUGAAGCCCAGCUUGCUGGGUGGAUUAGUGGCGAACGGGUGAGUAACACGUGAGUAACCUGCCCUUAACUCUGGGAUAAGCCUGGGAAACUGGGUCUAAUACCGGAUAGGAGCGUCCACCGCAUGGUGGGUGUUGGAAAGAUUUAUCGGUUUUGGAUGGACUCGCGGCCUAUCAGCUUGUUGGUGAGGUAAUGGCUCACCAAGGCGACGACGGGUAGCCGGCCUGAGAGGGUGACCGGCCACACUGGGACUGAGACACGGCCCAGACUCCUACGGGAGGCAGCAGUGGGGAAUAUUGCACAAUGGGCGCAAGCCUGAUGCAGCCACGCCGCGUGAGGGAUGACGGCCUUCGGGUUGUAAACCUCUUUCAGUAGGGAAGAAGCGAAAGUGACGGUACCUGCAGAAGAAGCACCGGCUAACUACGUG
rnacentral:rRNA from 1 species